UAAUACAGAGGGUGCAAGCGUUAAUCGGAAUUGCUGGGCGUAAAGCGCACGUAGGCGGCGUGAUAAGUUGGAUGUGAAAUCCCCGGGCUUAACUUGGGAAUUGCAUUCAAGACUGUCGCGCUGGAGUAUGGGAGAGAGAAGUGGAAUUCCAGGUGUAGCGGUGAAAUGCGUAGAUAUCUGGAGGAACAUCAGUGGCGAAGGCGGCUUCUUGGCCCAAUACUGACGCUGAGGUGCGAAAGCGUGGGGAUCAAACAGG
rnacentral:rRNA from 1 species